GACGAACGCUGGCGGCGUGCUUAACACAUGCAAGUCGAACGAAGAGCGAUGGAAGCUUGCUUCUAUCAAUCUUAGUGGCGAACGGGUGAGUAACGCGUAAUCAACCUGCCCCUCAGAGGGGGACAACAGUUGGAAACGACUGCUAAUACCGCAUACGAUCUAAUCUCGGCAUCGAGGAUAGAUGAAAGGUGGCCUCUACAUGUAAGCUAUCACUGAAGGAGGGGAUUGCGUCUGAUUAGCUAGUUGGAGGGGUAACGGCCCACCAAGGCGAUGAUCAGUAGCCGGUCUGAGAGGAUGAACGGCCACAUUGGGACUGAGACACGGCCCAGACUCCUACGGGAGGCAGCAGUGGGGAAUCUUCCGCAAUGGACGAAAGUCUGACGGAGCAACGCCGCGUGAGUGAUGACGGCCUUCGGGUUGUAAAGCUCGGUUAAUCGGGACGAAAGGCCUUCUUGCGAAUAGUGAGAAGGAUUGACGGUACCGGAAUAGAAAGCCACGGCUAACUACGUG
rnacentral:rRNA from 1 species